AUACGUAGGUGGCAAGCGUUGUCCGGAUUUACUGGGCGUAAAGCGCCCGCAGGCGGCUCAUCAAGUCUGGGGUGAAAUCUCUCGGCUCAACCGGGAGCGGUCUCUGGAAACUGAUGGGCUUGAGAGGAGCAGAGGAGAGUGGAAUUCCCGGUGUAGCGGUGAUAUGCGUAGAUAUCUGGAGGAACACCAGUGGCGAAGGCGGCUCUCUGGGCUUUUUCUGACGCUGAGGCGCGAAAGCGUGGGGAGCAAACAGGAUUAGAAACCCCGGUAGUCC
rnacentral:rRNA from 1 species